CGAAGUGUACUCCAAAUGCGCCGAUUUCCCCAAAUAUCAAGCGUGGUCCGGUGCACGCUUCGUGGUCCCAUAUAUCCCACAAUUCAUAGCGCGGCGGUGGGUGUGGAUAAUUUUGCCGCAAAUGUAAUGGGGAAGGCUUUAGGACCCAGGAGGACCCAAUGGAGGGUAUAAAAGAGGAAGUAGCAACAGGUGCUCUUCAUUUCCACUGAUGAGCGGCUGUGAACAAUGGUUGCGUGAGUAGGUGAAGAGCCUGAGAAGUUUUAAUUGUCUGCUACACAAACAGUUGUUUUAAACCUCUACAGCAGAGGUUCGAGGUACAGGCUGUUUUUCUUUUAGUGCUUUUUUUUUUUUUUUUUUUUUUUAAUUUGUUGAAAUGUAUUUGAUGUUUAUUGUAUUUUAUGUUUUUAGUAGUGAUUUUAGAAGAUAAGCCAAGAUAAGCCAGGUGUGCAGCAAACAGUUGUCUGCUGGAGGUGUAUUAACUUAAUAUAUUUGGACAUUAAAAAAAGUAUAAUGCACUAUAAUAUAAUUUACAUUGUAUUGCCUCCUACAGGGCAGGCUGCACAUGUGAAUUUGUCACCGUUUAUUCCUCCUUCUCCUUUUUGUUGCGUUUUUGGUUUUAGUAGGGUCACCUUUUAAAACUUUUUUUUUUUUUAAUUUCUCCUGGGCUGGUGCAAUAUUAGUCGGGCAAUGUGCAAUCCCUGAGCUGGGCUCUUACCUUAAGGAAAGCAGGUCUUUUUAGAGGUGCUCCGUGUGGAUUUGCAGUGAAUAAGCUUCAUUAAGAGUGAUUUUAGUGCCACCGAUUAUGGCUUGAACUAAAACACUUAGUGCAUGCGAUAAGUGUUCUGUUGGGCUCGUAUUUAUUUGGGGUGAAUUUGUUUCUUUUAAAGCAACGAGCAUCUGGGACCACCGGGGUAGAGCAAGCCCUCAGGUGAUAGCUGCAUUGCUGGCAGGUUGCACCAAUAAGGCUAUGUGGUGGUCGUUAGUGACCUUUCCCAUUUUGAUGUUUUAGGCCUUUUGCAAACCCUUUGUGUUCUUUUAAAAUAAUACAUUUUAACAUAUCUGCCUGAUAUUGACCCUCUUGUCCCGUUUAUUCUGGGCUCGUUCCUGUAAG
ensembl:lncRNA